UACGUAGGGUGCAAGCGUUAAUCGGAAUUACUGGGCGUAAAGCGUGCGCAGGCGGUUGUGCAAGACCGAUGUGAAAUCCCCCGGGCUUAACCUGGAAAUGGCAUUGGUGACUGCACGGCUAGAGUGUGUCAGAGGGGGGGUAGAAUUCCACGUGUAGCAGUGAAAUGCGUAGAGAUGUGGAGGAAUACCGAUGGCGAAGGCAGCCCCCUGGGAUAACACUGACGCUCAUGCACGAAAAGCGUGGGGGAGCAAAACAGGG
rnacentral:rRNA from 1 species